GGAUGACACAAACUUAUCAAUAAUUUCUGCUGUUAAUCCUUACCAUGUAAAAACAGAUAAAGCGUACGAUGUAUUUAUUCUAGUCUUACAUGGAAGAGCGAUCUUUCAAUGGUAUUUUUAUUCUGAUUUUAUUUCGAUUUCACGACAAUGUUCAUUCCAGAUAAUAAUUACUAAUUACAUCAUAUUUCUAAAUCAUACUUCAGACACAAAUCUUCUCGCAGCUGCUUACUAUUUAAUUCAACAAAUAUAUGCCAUAGUAUGGAAAAAACGUGA
rnacentral:lncRNA from 1 species